UGCAGAGGUCUCAAGCGUUGUUCGGAUUCAUUGGGCGUAAAGGGUGUGUAGGUGGCGCGCUAAGUCGGGUGUGAAAUUUCGGAGCUUAACUCCGAAACUGCAUUCGAUACUGGCCGUGCUUGAGGACUGGAGAGGAGACUGGAAUUACGGUGUAGCGUGAAAUGCGUAGAGAUCAUGAGGAAGACCAGUGGCGAAGGCGGGUCUCUGGACAGUUCCUGACGCUGAGGCACGAAGGUCAGGGGAGCAAACGGG
rnacentral:rRNA from 1 species